rnacentral:rRNA from 1 species
UUGAAAGUAUAGCCUGCCCCCUGAGUAAUUAAAUGGCUGCGGUAAUCUGACCGUGCAAAGGUAGCAUAAUAACUAGUUUUUUAAUUGAAAGCUUGAAUGAAAGGUUGGACGAGGAAAUAACUGUCUCUAUUUAAUUUAAUUAGAAUUUUAUUUUUAAGUAAGAAAGCUUAAAUGAUUUUGAAAGACGAGAAGACCCUAUAGAAUUUUAUAUUUAUUAUAAUAUUGGGGUGUGAGGAUUAAUUAGCUUUGGUAUUAUGGUAAUUAUUUUGUUGGGGCGAUAGAAAAAUUUAAUAAACUUUUUUUAAAUUUAUCCAUUAAUUUAUGAGUGAGUGAUCCAUAUUUUAUGAUUAUAAGAUUAAAUUACCUUAGGGAUAACAGCGUAAUCUUUUUUAAGAGUUCUUAUCGAAAAAAAGGGUUGCGACCUCGAUGUUGGAUUAAAAUUAACUUUUGGUGUAGGAGCUAAGAUGUUAGGUCUGUUCGACCUUUAAAAUUUUACA